ACUCGGGUCCAUACAACCCUAAGUCAUUGGCGAACUAAAGUUUCUCCGAGUUUUGAAAUCUUUACUGUUGGCAGACUGCAAACUGAGAUAAUUAUAUUCCUUUCCAAAAAUGGAUUUUCGUCUGAAUGUUUGUCUUUUGUUGAUACUUUUUGUGGCAUUUUCUGACGUUGAUGGCCGUAAAUUUGCCGAAGAUAAAGCGAAUGAUCCUAUUUGUGGUGAUGUUGCUGGUCGAUGUGUUCCGUUUGAUCGAGAUUGCAACCCAAACGAAUAUGGUUGUAACUUUUUUUGCACACCGGGAAACAAAUGCUGUUGCCCGUUCUGAGGUGGAAAAUGAAACCGGAUUCGUCUCUAGAAUAGAAAAAAGUUGUUGAAUGUAAUGCAUCCAAUUUACUUUGAUUAAUUAAAGAGGUUGAUAAAAAAUUCCAG
rnacentral:lncRNA from 1 species